UACGAAGGGGGCUAGCGUUGUUCGGAAUUACUGGGCGUAAAGCGCACGUAGGCGGAUUGUUAAGUUAGGGGUGAAAUCCCGGGGCUCAACCCCGGAACUGCCUCUAAUACUGGCAAUCUCGAGUCCGAGAGAGGUGAGUGGAAUUCCGAGUGUAGAGGUGAAAUUCGUAGAUAUUCGGAGGAACACCAGUGGCGAAGGCGGCUCACUGGCUCGGUACUGACGCUCAUGCACGAAAGCGUGGGGAGCAAAC
rnacentral:rRNA from 1 species